AUGCUUUAUUUUAUUUUAUUUUAUUUUUUUACAGAUUUAUUUACUUAUGAACACAAGAGCUGGGCUGCAGGGCAGAGGUGCGGGGGUGGGGGUAAGGGGAUUCACCAGAGAAAGAGUGGGGGACAGAACAGGUAGACUGACUGAAAUCCACUGCUGAGGUGAGCAGCGGGGAGACAGGAGAGGUCUGCGGCGCCCUGGGGGUCACCUUUCUGGCUGGGGAUGGGAUGUUGGCACCAGAUGACGUGUAGAGUCCCUUCGUGGUUGCCAAAAUGUUGUAGGUUGUUGAGUGCGUGCGGGUCCUGGGGCUCACUCUGGGGAAGGUGUCCCCAGAGCUCCCGUUUCAGCGGCACACGGUGACUUCCCCAGGCAUGUUUCUCCAUGAGACAGCGACAUUAGUUCUAUUUGAAGAGCAGGUUUAUUAGGGAAAAGGAAAGGGACAGGUUUUGCUGAGAGAGGCCCACAUGGUUGCAGGCGGGCGGCCUUGACAGGUCACGGCAGGCAGGAGGCUGUUGCCCUGCAGAGGGAGAGAGAGUUGGUGAAAAGAGGCUCCUGCAUAGUCACAGGUGGGCAGUGGGAGCACUGCCCCGAGCCUGUGCAGAGACUGCCCCGAUUCAGUCCUUUCCUCUUUGGGAGGGGUCGCUCCUCCCUGGAGUGGCUGCUUGUGGCUGAUGUUGGGUAACAGGCAACACUACAGAAGGACCAGAGAUUCCAGGGUGGGCCCAAUCUCCAUAUCUUUCCCCGCAGGCCUGUGCGCCACUCCCUAGAGCAUCUCAGCCUGCUUGGGUCUCCUGCCUAGUGACAAGGCACUGGUGCUUAAGGGUCAUGACCUCCACAGCUGGGUUAAUGGUCAUGUGAUUCUCCUUGACCCCCACCUCCUUGUGUGAGUCAGGUUUUAGGCUUGUGAGGCCUCCUUCCCCGUCUUUCCAUUCUUGUCCUCCAUCAGAUGGAACUCGUGCGGAUGGCUUCGUAGUGCUGUGCUUAACCCCUGCGCCAUCCUGGAGGCCCCAAACCUUGCUUUUAUAUCAGCUUCAGAUAUUUUAGGGUCUGGCUGCGGUGGACACUGUCGGUGAAAGGCUGGGAGUCCCGGAGCCUGCAACAGACCCGCCUGUCCUCCUGCCCUAGCCCGCCUGCCCCAGCCCACUGUGACCUGCUCAUUAGCUGGAAUUAUGUUGGCACAAGGCCUGGGGGUGGACUACAAGCUUCAGGGAGUGUCUGAUGGACUUUCUCUGGCCAGGAGCCUGACUUGUGCGCCCCAGAUGACCAGGUCCCGGCAUGUAUCACUGCAUGUAUCAUUACAACGUGAUUUUAAUUUUGUCUGGUAUUUAAUAUUUAAAUAAAUUAACUCAUGUUCUGUUUCUGUCUUGAAUGUCACUCAAGAGUAUGAAGGCCAGACUAGUCCACAUUUUGGAUGCAGCUUGAGGGUUUUAUUUGCACUGCUGUAUAAUAUUCCACUCGGUGUACAGUUGUUGUUUACACUGUCUUCUACUCUCACAUAAGGGUUAAGGAGAGGAUGCUUACAUCCAUCGCUAAAAUUUUAUAUUCUACUUCAUCAUUUAACACUGCAAUGUAAGUGCUCACCACAGCAUUAAAAGCUACUAAGUGUCACUGUAUGUAUCCAGUGUUUAUAUUUAAUUUUGUAUAU